CUGCUUACCUGGCGGGGAAAAGACCACGGUCGACAAGGUGGUUCUCCUCGGUGAGACUCGCACCCCUGCUCUCCGGGGUCCUGAUCCACGCGGCUCCUCCAAAGGCGGGGGUUCCGGCUGCAUCGUUUAUAGUAUUGGCGGACUGCAACAAUCCGCUU